UACGUAGGGUGCGAGCGUUAAUCGGAAUUACUGGGCGUAAAGCGUGCGCAGGCGGUUUGUUAAGACAGGUGUGAAAUCCCCGGGCUCAACCUGGGAAUGGCGCUUGUUACUGGCAGGCUAGAGUGUGUCAGAGGGAGGUAGAAUUCCACGUGUAGCAGUGAAAUGCGUAGAGAUGUGGAGGAAUACCGAUGGCGAAGGCAGCCUCCUGGGAUAACCACUGA
rnacentral:rRNA from 1 species